GUUCCGGGUCCGACCGGUGGGCCGGGUUCGGAUGGAGCCAGGGCCAUACCAGCAGCAUACAGAAGUUCCCAGAGUCAAAUCUGAGCUACCGCAGCAGUGAGUGACCGUCCAGCCCAUUGUCCCUCUGCGGUGACUGGAAGUCCAGGCAGGUGUGAAGGCGCCACCAAGUCAAGCAGCCCAGUCUCAGCCUCGGCCGAUCCUGCGGGGUCACUGGUCCCUGAAACUUGGAGCUGCUAAUCUCCAGGCCAAAACUCGGCCAGUCUUCAGGUCCAUCGACUUCCAGGCCCAGGUCCCCACUGAUGGUCCCUGCAGUCCUUGCACCGGGCCCCCUGCAGUCUGGCUGUGCGUCUGUCCGCAGUCAUCCCCUGCGUGGCGGUGACCAUGAACUCAGGGCCACACAGACCCCACUUUGAAUGUGAAAUUGCCGUUGGCCAUGAAGGCCAACUACCUUUCUGAAAUCGGUUUUCUCGUCUAAAUGAUCGCCGUGAUGCCUCUGCAAGUGAAAGGUAAUGAACCAGAGUGCCACAGCAACGCAGGUGCAGUGUCCCCAACUGCAGAAGCUUCCUGGUGACAUGGCUUUCUCUUCUUGGCACAGAAAACGCAUGAAACCUAAAGUAACUCAGAGAAGCAGACUUUAUUUUUAUUUCUCUGUGAUUUGUAGAAUAAUCCCAAGACUGCACACAGAUGAAUUUCCCUGCCUAUUUUCACCAGUUUCAUUUCUUUUCAAUAAGACACAGAUAUGUAUUUAUUUUUUAAGGUAGUUAACAAGCCAAAACAUAACUAAUAAUUUGAUGAGUUUAUUAGAUAGUAAUAUACUGUUUUUUUUGUUUUUGUUUUUGUUUUUGUUUUUGUUUUUGUUUUUGACCAAGCCUAUAGCAUGCGGAAAUACCUGGGCCAGCGAUUGAACCCGCACCACAGCAGCCACAGUGCUGGAUCCUUAACUGCUAGGCCACCAGGGACCUCCCAUAGUCACAGGCCUAUCUUUUUAAAAUUUUGUAUUACAUUUUCACAAGAAAAAUCAAUUUAAAAAAGCAAUUACUAGAAAAGUUGAAAUGAUGGAAUGAAAAAAAUGUUGGCUCUUUGUGUAACGUCUCCAAUUAACUGAUGGUUUCAGAUACUUUGAACCGAGUAAGUAUUUUGAACUGAAUGACGAUUUUUGGUAUCAAGGUGGGACGGGGGGGAGGGGAAGUUUUGCUUAAUGCAGGCUUUCUUAAAAAUAAAGGACAGAAAGAAUAAAUAAGAGUAACUAACUUUUUAGACUAGACGGAAACAAUUUGUUGUUCAGAUACUAGAUUCUUGAAAAUAGUUAUGUAUCAGCAUGUCCUGAGCCCAUGACGCUUUCACUAGGCAGAAAGCCACGUUUUCACUAGGCAGGAUUACAGUCCUAACAAAACAGUAUUAGGUACCCUGUAGUGUCAGGGAUUCCUGGUUGUAAUUCCCAUGAGAGGCUGAAGGUAUUGUCGUCUUUUAAAACAUCAAUCUCGGCAGCUCAUUGAGAGAAUCUUCUUGGAUUCCAUUUAUAUUGGCCUUCCGGCCACAGACUUUUUCGGUUCAGUAACAAGAUUUUUUUUUUUCAAGAAGCAAUUAUUUAACUAUUACUUUCCCACACAGCUAUUAAAUAAAGACGGACCUACAGUUCGAAUUUUAAUUUAUAAAUAUAGUAAUUUAGGAGGGGCAAUAGCCGAGAGUAUAUAUAACAAAAUACCCAGGAGAUACACACCCCAUCACGAGUACAAUAAUUACAUUCUAGCUAAAAACUGUUCGUUAAACUAUAGCAAAUUCACGAAGAAAUGUCCAUUCCAAGACACAAGUGCCAAAAUAUUUUCCCCUUUGGUUUAAUAAUUUAGUUUAUUUGUUGCAAGGCAGGUAUAAGGAGUGACAAAGCAGGGUGAAUUCCUGCUUUAAAAAGGGUACAUUCUAAGGGUGUUCUGUCUUGUGCGAUUUUCUGCACGAGUCUCCACCCUCACAACAGCCCCCAUUCUGAGGGCACUUAGGCUAUGGAUCGGUGUGAACAAAUGUUCGUAUUUUAACCCAGGGCUUGGCAAACUAACACCUGUGGGCAGGAUGCAGCCUUUGCCUUCUGGUUUUGCAUGGCCCAUGAACUAUGAAUGGUUACACAUUUUUAAAUCGCUGGAAAAAAAAAAAUGAGAGUUGACAUGUGACCCAAUAUUAAUUUAAAAACCCAGCUUUGUGGUAUCAGCCAAUACACAGGUGUUAAGCUACAGAACCAGAAGAGGAAGAACGUGUCCAGUUCCAUGUCCAGGUAAGCUUUGAUUGACCCCUACUUGCCUUCUUUGAUGAAACCAAGAAGACGGCCGAGCAGCAGCUUUUCUUGGAGAGCGGGGAUAAUUACCCAGAGAAAGUGCUCUAGAUUCUCAGGCUGUUCUGCUGCCGGUCCGGGUAUUGACGUUUGAGGGUAUUUAUGAUUGCGAUGCAUUCCGAAGCAUCCAGCAACGGCUGAUUAUACUAUUUAUUGGGAAAAAAAAAAUCCUUCCACCGGUCUGCACGCUGCCACCCUUGUCCUAAAUCAAGUGUUUCUGUGCGAGUCUGUCUCUGAACAAAUUUGGUUUCUUUGGUCUUUGCGUCCACCGUUACACAAAGCGCCUGACUUCAUUACAGAAACUUUAUAAUCAGUUCUGUAUCUGCUGUACCUUCCAUGGUGUUCUUUGUAUUAAAAGACAUCUUCGUUUUUCCU
rnacentral:lncRNA from 1 species